rnacentral:rRNA from 1 species
AUGCUCUCCAAACUUAUAUGUGUCCGCCGUGUUUCCCCAGGGAUUCAAGUCCAUAUUAUGAUUUACCAGCUUGAUUACCCUCAAAUGCUGGAAGAUGAGUAUGGAGGAUGGCUAAGCCCUAGAAUUGUGGAUGAUUUCACAGCAUUCGCAGAUAUUUGCUUCAAAGAGUUUGGAGACAGGAUCUCGUACUGGACUACAAUAGAUGAACCUAACAUAGGUGCGACCGGAUCUUACGAUGGCGGAUCGAUUGCACCCGGACAUUGCUCCGACCCGUUUGGAGUUACAAAAUGUACGGUGGGUGACUCUACAGUGGAACCAUAUAUAGCAGCUCAUAAUAUGCUAUUGGCGCAUGCAUCAGCCAGUAGGCUUUACAGACAAAAAUAUCAAGCCAUGCAAAAGGGGGUUAUCGGCCUAAGUAUUUACUCCCUUUGGCCUUAUCCUAUGACAAACUCUACGGAGGAUUUAGAAGCAACAAACAGAUGUUUGGACUUCUUUUUGGGAUGGAUACUAGAGCCCUUGAUAUCUGGAGAUUAUCCGGAAAGAAUGAAGAAAAUUGUUGGCUCUCGUCUUCCAUCCUUCACUAAUAUCCAGUCUGAAGCUAUAAUUGGUAGUGCAGAUUUCAUUGGGAUAAAUCACUACUAUUCUGUCUUCGUGAAUGAUCGUCCUUUAGACAAAGGCACUCGUGACUAUACAGCCGACUUGUCAAUUAUCUACAAAGGCUCCCCCAACGUCAUUUCCAAGUGA